rnacentral:rRNA from 1 species
AACCGGCGCUAAUACCGCAUAAUCCCGAGAGGGCAAAGGAGCAAUUCGCUUCAGGAGGAGUCCGCGGCCGAUUAGCUAGUUGGCAGGGUAAAAGCCUACCAAGGCAACGAUCGGUAGCCGGCCUGAGAGGGCACACGGCCACACUGGCACUGAAACACGGGCCAGACUCCUACGGGAGGCAGCAGUGGGGAAUCUUGCACAAUGGGGGCAACCCUGAUGCAGCGACGCCGCGUGAGCGAUGAAGCCCUUCGGGGUGUAAAGCUCUUUCGGCAGGGAAGAUUAUGACGGUACCUGCAGAAGCAGCUGCGGCUAACUACGUGCCAGCAGCCGCGGUAAUACGUAGGCAGCAAGCGUUGUUCGGAGUUACUGGGCGUAAAGGGUGUGUAGGCGGCCUUCUAAGUUUGGUGUGAAAUCUCCCGGCUCAACCGGGAGGGUGCGCCGAAGACUGGGGGGCUAGAGUAUGGGAUGGGAGAGUAGAAUUUCCGGUGUAGCGGUGAAAUGCGUAGAUAUCGGAAGGAAUACCUGUGGUGUAGACGGCUCUCUGGACCAUAACUGACGCUGAGACACGAAAGCGUGGGUAGCAAACAGGAUUAGAUACCCUGGUAGUCCACGCCCUAAACGAUGCAUAUUUGGUGUGGGCCAUCCAUUUGGUCCGUGCCGGAGCUAACGCGUUAAAUAUGCCGCCUGGGGAGUACAGUCGCAAGGCUGAAACUCAAAGGAAUUGACGGAAUCGAAUU